AGAGCGAACGCUGGCGGCAGGCUUAACACAUGCAAGUCGAGCGGGCGUAGCAAUACGUCAGCGGCAGACGGGUGAGUAACGCGUGGGAACGUACCUUUUGGUUCGGAACAACACAGGGAAACUUGUGCUAAUACCGGAUAAGCCCUUACGGGGAAAGAUUUAUCGCCAAAAGAUCGGCCCGCGUCUGAUUAGCUAGUUGGUGAGGUAACGGCUCACCAAGGCGACGAUCAGUAGCUGGUCUGAGAGGAUGAUCAGCCACAUUGGGACUGAGACACGGCCCAAACUCCUACGGGAGGCAGCAGUGGGGAAUAUUGGACAAUGGGCGCAAGCCUGAUCCAGCCAUGCCGCGUGAGUGAUGAAGGCCCUAGGGUUGUAAAGCUCUUUUGUGCGGGAAGAUAAUGACGGUACCGCAAGAAUAAGCCCCGGCUAACUUCGCGCUAGCAGCCGC
rnacentral:rRNA from 1 species